UUGGUUGUGAACCCAUCUGGUCCUGGACUUUUUUUGGUUGCUAGGCUAUUAAUUGUUACCUGAAUUUUAAGCCUUGCUAUUGGUAUAUUCAGAGAUUCAACAUCUUCUUGGUUUAGUCCUGGGAGUGUGUAAGUGUCCAGGAAUUUAUCCAUUUCUUCUAGAUUUUCUUGUUUAU